rnacentral:rRNA from 1 species
UACGUAGGGGGCUAGCGUUGUCCGGAUUAUUGGGCGUAAAGAGCGUGUAGGCGGCCAGAUAGGUCCGUUGUGAAACUGGAGGCUUAACCUCCAGCUGUCGGAUGGAAACCAUCUGGCUAGAGUCCGGAAGAGGAGAGUGGAAUUCCUGGUGUAGCGGUGAAAUGCGCAGAUAUCAGGAAGAACACCCGUGGCGAAGGCGGCUCUCUGGGACGGUACUGACGCUGAGACGCGAAAGCGUGGGAGCGAACAGG